rnacentral:rRNA from 1 species
UGGCCUUGACAUAAACAGAAUUCAGUAGAGAUAUAGAAGUGCUAGUUUACUAGAGCUGUUAUACAGGUGCUGCACGGCUGUCGUCAGCUCGUGUCGUGAGAUGUUGGGUUAAGUCCCGCAACGAGCGCAACCCUCGCUAAUAGUUACUAACGGUUCGGCCGAGGACUCUAGUGAGACUGCCUUCGUAAGGAGGAGGAAGGUGAGGACGACGUCAAGUCAUCAUGGCCCUUACGGCUAGGGCAACACACGUGCUACAAUGGCCAGGACAGUGAGACGCGAUACCGUGAGGUGGAGCAAAUCUAUAAACCUGGUCUCAGUUCGGAUUGUAGUCUGCAACUCGACUACAUGAAGCUGGAAUCACUAGUAAUCGUAGAUCAGCUAUGCUACGGUGAAUACGUUCCCGGGUCU